rnacentral:tRNA from 1 species
GCGCCGAUAGUCUAGCCUGGUAGGACACGGGCUUCCCAAGCCUGUAACCCGGGUUCAAAUGACCCUUUUCAGAAAAGCGUCAACGGAAAAAGGUCUGAACGUCCCGGUCGGCGCA